rnacentral:misc_RNA from 1 species
AGAAGAUUGCAUUUUAGGCGCAGAAGCUUAUGUAAACUUUUUCUCAGGAUUAUGCACUUGGAGGCUUGUACAACUUCUCAACCAUCUUCCUAUAUUCUUCUUGAUUGCACCAAAGUUGAGCGGCUUGAGUGUUUAGAGGCGAGCUUAUAUUUGGUUCUCCAAGGAGGCUCUGGAUAGAUAAGAGUAUUGUUCGAACGUCAUAAGCGGAUGACCAUUUAUCCUGAAGAAUGUCCAAGCAAAUGUUGCCAUAGACAUCCACAUUAGGAUGGAAGCAGCUGGUUUCAAACUUCACCUUUGGUGGCUUGAAGGGGUAGUCGUUUGGAAAAGAAAGGGAUAGCUUGUAUUCAGUCCCUUCAAAAACUGUGUCUUUACUUCCGGUGAUUGUUCCUUUCCAGCAAAAUAUGUUGUCUUCUUCAGGGAAGGCAGAUAUACCAGCUUCUCCACUCAUCAUCAACGCCAUCAAUUCAGAUUGCAACCGUUUGAGCACAGAUUGUGUAUCAACAGUCUUUGCCGUUGGCACAGUCUGCUUCGAUGGGGUCCCCGCCGGAGCUGCCAUGGGUGUGUUGC